CAGCGCCCCUAUCUCUGCCCACUCGACCGCCAUGUGGUAACCGAGUGAGGGUCUCGGGAUGCGAC
rnacentral:pre_miRNA from 1 species